GACGAACGCUGGCGGCGUGCUUAACACAUGCAAGUCGAACGCUGAAGCUUGGUGCUUGCUCUGGGUGGAUGAGUGGCGAACGGGUGAGUAAUACGUGAGUAACCUGCCCUUGACUCUGGGAUAAGCCUGGGAAACUGGGUCUAAUACUGGAUACGACAUGUCACCGCAUGGUGGCGUGUGGAAAGGGUUUUACUGGUUUUGGAUGGGCUCACGGCCCAUCAGCUUGUUGGUGGGGUAAUGGCUCACCAAGGCGACGACGGGUAGCCGGCCUGAGAGGGUGACCGGCCACACUGGGACUGAGACACGGCCCAGACUCCUACGGGAGGCAGCAGUGGGGAAUAUUGCGCAAUGGGCGAAAGCCUGAUGCAGCGACGCCGCGUGAGGGAUGACGGCCUUCGGGUUGUAAACCUCUUUCAGCACAGAAGAAGCGAAAGUGACGGUACGUGCAGAAGAAGCGCCGGCUAACUACGUG
rnacentral:rRNA from 1 species